GGCUCUGUGGUCUAGUGGUAUGAUUCGCGCUUCGGGAUGUUUCCCAUACUUGAAAUAAGUAUCUGUGCGAGGUCUCGGGUUCGAUCCCCGACAGAGCCC